GACGUAGGGCGCGAGCGUUGUCCGGAUUUAUUGGGCGUAAAGAGCUCGUAGGCGGCUUGUCGCGUCGACUGUGAAAUCCCGCGGCUCAACUGCGGGUCUGCAGUCGAUACGGGCAGGCUAGAGUUCGGUAGGGGAGACUGGAAUUCCUGGUGUGAGCGGUGAAAUGCGCAGAUAUCAGGAGGAACACCGAUGGCGAAGGCAGGUCUCUGGGCCGAUACUGACGCUGAGGAGCGAAAGCGUGGGGAGCGAACAGG
rnacentral:rRNA from 1 species